AACACGCAUUGCAGCUUUAAAUAUUGUAGUUUAAAUAAUUUGAACGCAGUCCCUUCCGCGGUGCGUCUCGGCGCACUGCGCAGCUCUGAUGCGCAGGACGGAGAAGACAAAGCGGAAGAAGUCUCACUCCACGCCGAGAAGAGAAGCGGAGCGCUCCUGCUGCCACGCCGCCGCGGUUUCCCCGUCUACUGCUGAUCGGUUGCGACGAUCCUGAACGUCGAUCUUCACCACGUGGACCUCUAAGAUGUCUUAUGGUGGCCUAGAUGCAUCUGAGGUGCAAUCCUUGGUUUGCUUCCAGAGCGCGGUUUUUGCGGUUGCUGCAGUUUAGGACAUCAUCUCUGAGGGCCGGAACCAGCUGGCUGGUUUCACGUCAUCAGGAGGUAGGUAUUAUAGCCUCAUUCUGUGAUUAGAACUACUGGUGAAUCGACCCUGGACUCUAAAGGACACAUUAUACAACAUCUAUUGGGUUUUUAUGUUGUAAAUGUUUACUGUACAGUCUGUUAAUUCUUUUCCUUGUAUUUUACCUUGUGUAAAAAUGCCUGCUUUCAUUUGCCUGAAGCUUUUUGUGUAUUAGACCACAUCUAAUAAACUUUUAAUCUCACCUA